rnacentral:rRNA from 1 species
GACGAACGCUGGCGGCGUGCUUAACACAUGCAAGUCGAACGAAGUGGCGAACGGGUGAGUAACGCGUAAUCAACCUGCCCUUCAGAGGGGGACAACAGUUGGAAACGACCGCUAAUACCGCAUACUGCAGGCUGUGAUUGCGUCUGAUUAGCUAGUUGGAGGGGUAACGGCCCACCAAGGCGAUGAUCAGUAGCCGGUCUGGGAGGAUGAACGGCCACAUUGGGACUGAGACACGGCCCAGACUCCUACGGGAGGCAGCAGUGGGGAAUCUUCCGCAAUGGACGAAAGUCUGACGGAGCAACGCCGCGUGAGUGAUGACGGCCUUCGGGUUGUAAAGCUCUGUUAAUCGGGACGCGGUACCGAAAUAGAAAGCCACGGCUAACUACGUGCCAGCAGCCGCGGUAAUAC